AUGCUGCUUGUGGUUUCUGCUGUGUUGACUGACAGAUCUGAGUCCUGCAUGCAGGAGGUUUUUGUACGGCCACUUAAUGAGUUUGUAUCACUGUGGUGGACUUUUGGUGGAGGAACCAAACUCACCGUUGACUUGGGUGUGGUGCGGCCCACCCUGACCGUCCUCCCCCCCUCCAAAGAGGAGGUGCAGCAGGGCAGUGCCACAGUGCUGUGUCUGGCCAGCGGGGGCUCUCCCUCAACCUGGAGGCUGGACUGGAAGGUGGGGGGCAGCAGCAGCAGCUCCUCAGAGGUGUCACACAGCCCGGAGGUCCUGGGGAGGGACGGCCACUACAGCUGGAGCAGCACCCUGAGCCUCUCUGCAGACCGCUGGAGGAAGGCGGGCUCAGUGAGCUGUGAGGCCAGUCUGAAUGGACAGACCCCUGUCACUCAAAGCCUGGACCCUGACCACUGCUCAGAGUAGAGCUUCAGCAACACUUCCUGUCUGGAAAUGAUGCUU